AACCCCAGCAAUAGGCAGAAAGGCACCUUAUUGGUAGUCUUGUUCUUAUAUCAGUCUGGGUCAGAGCAGAUGGCAGUCCUUUGUUCAUCCUAGCUCGAUGCCUGGCUUGGUAGCCAAAGUUGUUUUAUACCUAGGACUCAUAA